rnacentral:rRNA from 1 species
CGAUAAGUUUUCRAUAUCCGGGGRAAGUAUACUBGCAAAUGCGAAACUUAAAGGAAUUGACGGAAGGGCACCACCUAGGGGUGGGACUGCGGCUUAAUUUGACUCAACACGGGGAAACUCAUCCGGUCCGGACACCGKGAGGAUUGACAGACUUGAGAGCUCUUUCUUGAGUUUGGUGGGCAGUGGUGCAUGSCCGUUCUUAGUUGGUGGAGUGAUUUGUCUGGUUUAUUCCGAUAACGAACGAGACUCUGGCCUACUAACUAGUUGCGCGAUUUUUCUGUCGUGCCAACUUCUUAGAGGGACAAGCGGUGCUCAGCCGCAUGAAAAAGAGCAAUAACAGGUCUGUGAUGCCCUUCGAUGUUUCGGAGCCGCACGCGCGCUACACUGUGAGUGGCAGCAUGUUGGUUUGCCUCGCUCGCAAGDKUBBBSUAAUCGGUUGAAAACCUCACGUGAUUGGGAUAGGGAAUUGUAAUUAUUUCCCUUGAACGAG